AACGAACGCUGGCGGCGUGCCUAACACAUGCAAGUCGCGCGAGAAAGCGGGGGCAACUCCGUGAGUAAAGCGGCGCACGGGUGAGUAAUACGUAGGUAACCUACCUCCGAGACCGGGAUAACCCUCCGAAAGGAAGGCUAAUACCGGAUGAGACCACGGAGCCUCGGCUCUGCGGUCAAAGGUGGCCUCUAUUUAUAAGCUACCACUCGAAGAUGGGCCUGCGCACCAUUAGCUAGUGGCGAGGUAACGGCUCACCAAGGCGAAGAUGGUUAGCUGAUCUGAGAGGAUGAUCAGCCACACUGGGACUGAGACACGGCCCAGACUCCUACGGGAGGCAGCAGUGGGGAAUCUUGGACAAGUGGGGAAACCCUGAUCCAGCGACGCCGCGUGGGUGAUGAAGGCCUU
rnacentral:rRNA from 1 species